GACCAGUGGGGGCUCCACAUAGCCCUCCUGGCCAGAAGGGACAUCCACGAGGACCAGCCCGUGAUGAAAAAUAUUCCACCAAGAGGCGAUCUUCAUUAGGUUAUGCUAAAUGUUUUCGGAGGUCAAGAAUGCUGAGUUCAACUUCCACCAUGACCCACAAGCUAGCUGGGCGACCUUUGGUGGAGACCUGUCUCUCACAGAUUGCUUCUGAGGUCCUGUUAAGAGGCUGUGACCUCUGUUAAGCACAACAGCCCUGAGGUGACACCUUGGUCACUCUGAGUUUUCCUUUCCCUGUUCUAACAAUGACUCACUGUGACAGGGAAGGACAGCUGGGGAGAGGCAGUGGGUAGAGCUGGUCUAGAAGGGACCUGGCUGAGAAGAAGGCUGGAGCACCAGUCCUUGCCGACCACUGGGUAGUCUGAUGGCCCUUGGGUGUUGGGCAGCCAGAGAUCUGGACAGGGGUGGUCUCUGGAACAUCCUGUACCUGGCAUUCCAUUUCCAGACCAAAAAGACGGGUCAUUUGUUUAGUUUUGAAUCUGCUGUUUGCAGCCUGUGGGAUACAAAAGUGGACACAAGCUAACUAACGCAGCUCCACGCUCUGGGACUCCUAACAAGCCUCCUUUCUGGAGCCUGGCUGGAGUCCACCCAAGAUGGUGAGAGGGUUUAAUAAUAUGGACUUCACCGGCUAUAGUGAAGAUCAGCCGAGAUAAGGACUGUGAAGGGAAAGAAAGGAGUGGAGGAGCCGGGAGUCCAUGGCCUAGAAGACCCUCGAGGGAAGAGCUGCAGGAUCCAUGCCACCCAGACCUGGAUGCCACCUCCCAAGACAGUAGCAAUUAUGGCAUUCAAACAGUUGACACCAAUUAGAGUAUGGUGGCUGCACUGGUGCCUAGGCUUUGCAUAUCUAAAUGGACUGACAGAUGCUGACCCAUAGGGCCACCAGCCUUGCCAGCUCUCAGCUGUUCCUGUGGCACCAAUUUUCAGAGCCAAAUUACUGCCACGGCCUGGCUGGCUUGCAGCAUAGAACCGUGUCCACUAGACAGAGCUAUUUGCGUCUCCUGGGCCCUAGACAGUUCUGCUGGGCAGGGCACACAGCGGGUAAUGCUGCCCUUCAGGGUGUGUGUGGUCCUUCUGGGAAGCAGCGCCAGGGUCUCCCAUCUGGUGCAGGGCACCCUCUGUGCACUUCAGAGCAGUCAAGUUCAUCCUAUCUACCCACAGGGAGAGGUGACAUCCUUUCUACCCCUAAUGGCGCUGGGGAGCUACCCCAGGGUCCUGUGAGGGAUGGAAUUCCCUGAAGUAGACUAAACACAGGUCACUCCCCUCCCCGCCAAGGGAGGCGUGCUUAACAACACAUCUUUCAAGAGUGUGCUGGCAUGCUGACCACAAUGCAAGGAUCCUGGCUAGAGAAAGCUCCUGGAGAUGCGUACAGCGUGUGUCUACGCGGUUGCCAAGGUGCCCAGCAGGUCGGGAGGCAUGGAGUCUGGUUUUCCUGUCCUGGUUAGUUCUUCCGCAAGCUAGCUUAGGUCCUGUAAGGGCAGCUCGCUUGUUCUUCUGCCCCCAGCUUACUACCAGCCGGCUUUGCCUCAACACCUUCUCCAUCCUGUGGCUGCCAGCACCUGGUCCAGCCUAGAAGCUGCAGAGGGCUGUGAUGGGAGUGAUAGGCCACCAGGCUGUCCUGCUGUCCCCAGCCUGACUGGAGGAAAGGGGGGGUCACUUGGAAAGGAGCUUUCUCAGACUGUUUCCUUUUUAAUUAAUAUUAUUAUUUUUUUGAGACAGGGUCAUACUAUGUAGACGAAGAUGGCUUUGAAUUCAGAGUUCCAUCCGCCUCUGCCUCCUGAGUGCUAGAUUAAAGGCACGCAGCCAGCAGACCAUGUUUUCUUAAAGCGACUCUGUCCUUCUCAACACAGAGAGCAAAGCUCCCGAGAGUCCCAUCAUCCCCUCCAGCCUGUCAACCUGACAAUCAUCUCUUAGGCGCAUCUCCAUCCUCUUUUCCCCACAUUGUGAUAAAUAACUGGGAAACUGCAUGUUCCCUUUACUUCCCCACACCCCCACCUAAGAUGUGGGGUCCUCCCCACUGUUCAAACAGCCUCAGUAGGUCUAGGACUUCCCUGAAGAGCUGGGGCUGCAGCUGGGAUGGGGUGGAUAAGGUCCUCUUGACAUCAUCCCAAGCCCACAUUUCCUGGACACCCCACUGCUUCCUGGGAGGGGUGCCCAUCCUCUGGCUGCAAGGAGCCCAAAGGUGGCUGUCCUACUUUCUAGUCUUGGCCCAUUUAAGUCUCAGCCAUGCUCCAGGCCUGGUGUCUCCUCUGAAAGCCCAGCUUCUGCAGGGACAUCAGGCAGCCAUUCCUGGCUAUGUCUCUUGUCAGUCCUGACUCAACCAUCAGGACCCAAGAACCCAGAGUCUAAGCUUCCUCCUUCAAGAUUCCAGAUGUUGCUACUGUGUGGCUAGGGGCUUGGUCUUGACAAAGUCAAGGAUGCAGGCACCAAGUGCUCCGAGUGGAGGCAUGGCAGGGAUCCCCUCGGGCCCUAGCAUCCUCUCUGUGUUUUCUGGUCCUGGGUUGGUUGUGUUAGUCAUUGGCCAUGCCUAGGCAAACACUCAGCUUGGAUGUGAGGUGGGAGCAGUUGACAUUAGCUGUCAGGGCUUUGCAGUGAGUGUGGACAGAGCAGGUUUGAGGCCCUUUUACUGGGACUCUGCACAGGCCAGCCUGCUCCCAGGCUGUGCAUCCUCCUUCCUCGCCAUAGUGAGUACUGAGUGCCCCGUUGGCCCCCUGACAGAAAGUACAUGGUGUCAGC